AGAAAAAUACACACAUUAUAAUAAGGCUUUAUUAUAAUGUGUGUAUUUUCCACUUUUUAAACUCUGAGCGCAGCCAGUCUAUUCCUGGAUGCGUUCAGAAUA